GACAGAGGAGCCAAGCGUUGUCCGGAGUGACUGGGCGUAAAGCGCACGCAGGUGGUUCUGCGCGUGGGGUGUGAAAGCUCUCGGCUCAACUGAGAGAGGCCACCUCAUACGGCAGAGCUCGAGCCCUGCAGAGGUCCACGGAAUUGCCGGUGUAGUGGUGAAAUGCGUAGAGAUCGGCAGGAACACCCAGGGGGAAACCAGUGGACUGGGCAGGCGCUGACACUCAUGUGCGAAAGCGUGGGGAGCGAACCGG
rnacentral:rRNA from 1 species